rnacentral:rRNA from 1 species
GGGUCUGCGUCCCAUUAGCUUGUUGGCGGGGUAACGGCCCACCAAGGCAUCGAUGGGUAGCCGAUUUGAGAGGAUGAUCGGCCACACUGGAACUGAAACACGGUCCGGACUCCUACGGGAGGCAGCAGUGGGGAAUAUUGCGCAAUGGGCGAAAGCCUGACGCAGCGACGCCGCGUGAGGGAUGAAGGUUUUCGGAUCGUAAACCUCUGUCAGAAGGGAAGAAACUACGUUGUGCUAAUCAGCAGCGUACUGACGGUACCUUCAAAGGAAGCACCGGCUAACUCCGUGCCAGCAGCCGCGGUAAUACGGAGGGUGCAAGCGUUAAUCGGAAUUACUGGGCGUAAAGCGCACGUAGGCUGUAGUGUAAGUCAGGGGUGAAAUCCCACGGCUCAACCGUGGAACUGCCUUUGAUACUGCACAACUUGAAUCCGGGAGAGGGUGGCGGAAUUCCAGGUGUAGGAGUGAAAUCCGUAGAUAUCUGGAGGAACAUCAGUGGCGAAGGCGGSCACCUGGACCGGUAUUGACGCUGA